UACGUAGGGGGCUAGCGUUAUUCGGAUUCACUGGGCGUAAAGGGUGCGCAGGCGGCCGUAUGUGUGAGGCGUGAAAGCCCGGGGCUUAACCCCGGAAUUGCACCUCAAACUAUACGGCUAGAGCAUUGGAGAGGGUAGCAGAAUUCAUGGUGUAGCAGUGAAAUGCGUAGAUAUCAUGAGGAAUACCAGAGGCGAAGGCGGCUACCUGGACAAUUGCUGACGCUCAGGCACGAAAGCGUGGGGAGCAAAAGGG
rnacentral:rRNA from 1 species